rnacentral:lncRNA from 1 species
CUCGAGAUACUCCUUUUACUGACGUAGAUCUACAUUGAACUACCUUGAACUACUAUAUGUUAUGCAUGUUUCUAAGAAUCUUAAUUUUCGUCUUAUUAUUUAUUUUUGGCAGAUGUUCUCAUAUAUUUUGUAUUUAUAUGUUCAUAUAUGUGUUUAAUUAGCAAAUUAGACAUAAAAUAUGUUUGAUUUGUUAAUUUGAUUGAGAACUUCUCAUUUUCAUAGAAAACCUCCUUAUACUUCUAUGACUAAUGUUUUGAUGGUAAGGUCAUAAUGAAGUGAAUAACAUAAAAUAUAUAUUUUCUGAAAUGUUUUUCUGUUAUUGUGUUAUAUACAACCUAAAAAUAUCUAAAUACAUUAGUAUUACUUAUAAAUUUGAAUUUUUGACGUGGUAUUACUAAUAAAUGUUGAAUUUCGCAAAAGUAUUACUAUGAAGAAAGAAAUAUUACUACAAUCUUGAGAACUACUAAGUGCAAAUAUUCAAGCAUUUGUUAGAUAUAAAAUGUUGUUAAUUUGUCACGGUUUAAACAUGUUUUUCCACCUAAUAUUUUUGUCAUGUUUUAGGCAUGUUUUUUUGUUUUUUUUUGUUUUUUUUUUAGUUUUAAAAAUAUUUUAGACAAGGUUUUUAGUUAUAAAAAGACUUAAAUUGCUGAAAAUAAAUCUUUAACAAUCCUUAAUUUAUAUAUUUUAAAAUUAUAUGUCUGUAUAUGUGUUAAAUAUCAAAUUAGUAAUGAAAUCUUAAAUAGUUUUCACUAUCCCUCCAUUUUUCUUCCUUCCAUUCUUACCCUUUCAUUCUUUAUUAUUUUUUUUUCUUCAAAAGUUACGGGACCCACGCUACUCCUUUAUUUUCUUGUUUUUCUCCGGGUGGGUCUCAUCCUGUUUUCUCUAAAGACCAUGUUCUUUUCUUCCAAUUGUUUUCCAUUUUUUUUAAUUUCUUUUUAAAAAAAAUCUAUUUAAAAAGAAUUAUUUAUGAUUAAUAUUGCUAAAAUUUAUGGAAAUAAUUUUAUAAAUUUCAUUUUAUCUUACUAUAAUAUUUUUAUAAAUAAGAAAAUAAAUUAUUGCAGUAAAAUUUUAAUUAAUAGUUAAUUUCAAAAAGAAAUUUCAUAAAAUAUUUAUAUAAAUUAUUUUACUAAACUAAAAUAUUUUUCUCUUUUAUAUAAAAUUUAUCAAGUUUAAAAUAAGAAAUUUCAUGUACAUUCGGGUGAUAUG